rnacentral:rRNA from 1 species
GACGAACGCUGGCGGCGUGCUUAACACAUGCAAGUCGAACGAGUGGCGAACGGGUGAGUAAUACGUGGGUAACCUGCCCCAUUUUUGGGAUAAGCCUUGGAAACGGGGUCUAAUACCGAAUAAAGGGGGAUGGGCUCGCGGCCUAUCAGCUUGUUGGGGGGGUGAUGGCCUACCAAGGCGGUGACGGGUAGACGGCCUGAGAGGGUAACCGGCCACAGUGAGACUGUGAUACGGCCCAGGCGCCGACGGGGGGCAGCAGUGGGGAAUAUGGGACAAAGGGCGAAGGCGUGAUGCAGCGACGCCGCGUGAGGGAUGAAGGCUGUCGGGUUGUAAACCUCUUUCGCUAGCGAACGGGUAGGUGGAGAAGAAGCGCCGGCUAACUACGUGCCAGCAGCCGCGGUAAUAC